UGGUUGUAUGAAAGGAGAGAAGGAUGGAAAAGGCCCUGGUGACCUUCACAAUGUACAUACAGUUAAGGCACUGUCACCUAUGCUGUGGCAUCUAGCCAUGUUUGG
ensembl:snRNA